rnacentral:rRNA from 1 species
AUUGAACGCUGGCGGCAGGCUUAACACAUGCAAGUCGAGCGGAGAUGAGGUGCUUGCACCUUAUCUUAGCGGCGGACGGGUGAGUAAUGCUUAGGAAUCUGCCAUUUAGUGGGGGACAACAUUCCGAAAGGGAUGCUAAUACCGCAUACGUCCUACGGGAGAAAGCAGGGGAUCUUCGGACCUUGCGCUAAAUGAUGAGCCUAAGUCGGAUUAGCUAGUUGGUGGGGUAAAGGCCUACCAAGGCGACGAUCUGUAGCGGGUCUGAGAGGAUGAUCCGCCACACUGGGACUGAGACACGGCCCAGACUCCUACGGGAGGCAGCAGUGGGGAAUAUUGGACAAUGGGCGGAAGCCUGAUCCAGCCAUGCCGCGUGUGUGAAGAGGGCCUUUUGGUUGUAAAGCACUUUAAGCGAGGAGGAGGCUACUAGUACUAAUACUACUGGAUAGUGGACGUUACUCGCAGAAUAAGCACCGGCUAACUCUGUGCCAGCAGCCGCGGUAAGAC